rnacentral:piRNA from 1 species
UAGGAAGCCUAUCAAUUCUGUUUCUCUAGA